AUGUUUCCUGUAGCUCUGCUGCUGCUGCUGUUGGCAGCUGGAUCCUGUGUGAAGGGUGAAACAUUGACACAGCCAGCCUCUGUGACUGUGCAGCCAGGUCAACGUCUGACCAUCACCUGUCAGGUCUCUUAUUCUGUUAGUAGCUAUUACACAGGUUGGAUCAGGCAGCCUGCAGGAAAAGGACUGGAGUGGAUUGGAGGCUCACGACAUGGAUACAACACAUACUACAAAGAUUCACUGAAGAACAAAUUCAGUAUCGACUUACACACUUCCAGCAACACAGUGACUCUGAAUGGACAGAAUAUGCAGCCUGAAGACACUGCAGUGUAUUACUGUCUUGGAUCAGGCAGCCUGCAGGGAAAGGACUGGAGUGGAUUGGAAUGA